rnacentral:tRNA from 1 species
AACCUAUUAGCUCAAAUGGUAGAGCACUAUGGAGAUGCAUAGCGGAUGUAGGUUCGAUUCCUACAUAGGUUG